UCCCAGCUGGCUCAGAAGGUAAGGAAUCUGUCUACAAUGCAGGAGACCUUGGUUCAAUCCCUGGGUUGGGAA
rnacentral:tRNA from 1 species